UACGGGGGGGGCAAGCGUUGUUCGGAAGUACUGGGCGUAAAGGGUGCGUAGGCGGCUUUUUAAGUCGGAUGUGAAAACUCUGGGCUCAACCCAGAGACUGCAUCCGAAACUGGAGAGCUUGGGUUCUGGAGGGGAAAGCGGAAUUCCUGGUGUAGCAGUGAAAUGCGUAGAUAUCAGGAGGAACACCGGUGGCGAAGGCGGCUUUCUGGACAGAUACCGACGCUGAGGCACGAAAGCUAGGGGAGCAAACAGG
rnacentral:rRNA from 1 species